rnacentral:rRNA from 1 species
ACUUUCAACAACGGAUCUCUUGGCUCCAGCAUCGAUGAAGAACGCAGCGGACGCGAUAUGUAAUGUGAAUUGCAGAAUUCAGUGAAUCAUCGAAUCUUUGAACGCACAUGGCGCCUUCCAGUAUCCUGGGAGGCAUGCCUGUCCGAGCGUCGUUU